rnacentral:rRNA from 1 species
CUUGGAACAGGACGUCAUAGAGGGUGAGAAUCCCGUAUGUGACUGGCCGCCACGCCUGUGUGAAGCUCCUUCGACGAGUCGAGUUGUUUGGGAAUGCAGCUCAAAAUGGGUGGUAAAUUUCAUCUAAAGCUAAAUACUGGCCAGAGACCGAUAGCGCACAAGUAGAGUGAUCGAAAGAUGAAAAGCACUUUGGAAAGAGAGUCAAACAGUACGUGAAAUUGUUGAAAGGGAAGCGCUUGCAACCAGACUUGCCCGCGGGUGAUCAACCGAUACUUCUUACCGGUGCACUCGCCCGUGGUCAGGCCAGCAUCGGUUUGGGCGGCUGGAUAAAGUCCACUGGAAUGUAGCUCCUCUCGGGGAGUGUUAUAGCCAGAGGUGCCAUGCAGCCCGUCCGGACCGAGGACCGCGCUUCGGCUAGGAUGCUGGCGUAAUGGUUGUAAGCGACCCGUCUUGAAACACGGACCAAGGAGUCUAACAUCUAUGCGAGUGUUUGGGUGUCAAACCCAUGCGCGUAAUGAAAGUGAACGGAGGUGGGAACCCUUAAGGGUGCACCAUCGACCGAUCCUGAUGUCUUCGGAUGGAUUUGAGUAAGAGCAUAGCUGUUGGGACCCGAAAGAUGGUGAACUAUGCCUGAAUAGGGUGAAGCCAGAGGAAACUCUGGUGGAGGCUCGCAGCGGUUCUGACGUGCAAAUCGAUCGUCAAAUUU